rnacentral:rRNA from 1 species
AUGAACGCUGGCGGCGUGCCUAAUCCAUGCAAGUCGAGCGAACAGACGAGGAGCUUGCUCCUCUGACGUUAGCGGCGGACGGGUGAGUAACACAUGGAUAACCUACCUAUAAGACUGGGAUAACUUCGGGAAACCGGAGCUAAUACCGGAUAAUAUAUUGAACCGCAUGGUUCAAUAGUGAAAGACGGUUUUGCUGUCACUUAUAGAUGGAUCCGCGCCGCAUUAGCUAGUUGGUAAGGUAACGGCUUACCAAGGCAACGAUGCGUAGCCGACCUGAGAGGGUGAUCGGCCACACUGGAACUGAGACACGGUCCAGACUCCUACGGGAGGCAGCAGUAGGGAAUCUUCCGCAAUGGGCGAAAGCCUGACGGAGCAACGCCGCGUGAGUGAUGAAGGUCUUCGGAUCGUAAAACUCUGUUAUUAGGGAAGAACAAAUGUGUAAGUAACUAUGCACGUCUUGACGGUACCUAAUCAGAAAGCCACGGCUAACUACGUG